rnacentral:rRNA from 1 species
GACGUAGGGCGCGAGCGUUGUCCGGAUUUAUUGGGCGUAAAGAGCUCGUAGGCGGCUUGUCGCGUCGUCCGUGAAAACCCACAGCUCAACUGUGGGCUUGCGGUCGAUACGGGCAGGCUAGAGUUCGGUAGGGGAGACUGGAAUUCCUGGUGUGAGCGGUGAAAUGCGCAGAUAUCAGGAGGAACACCGGUGGCGAAGGCGGGUCUCUGGGCCGAUACUGACGCUGAGGAGCGAAAGCGUGGGGAGCGAACAGG